UACGGGGGGGGCAAGCGUUGUUCGGAAUUACUGGGCGUAAAGGGCUCGUAGGUGGCCAACUAAGUCGGACGUGAAAUCCCUCAGCUUAACUGGGGAACUGCGUCCGAUACUGGAUGGCUUGAGUUUGGGAGAGGGAUGCGGAAUUCCAGGUGUAGCGGUGAAAUGCGUAGAUAUCUGGAGGAACACCAGCGGCGAAGGCGGCAUCCUGGCCUGGUCCUGACACUCAGGAGCGAAAGCGUGGGGAGCGAUCCGG
rnacentral:rRNA from 1 species